AUGUAAUAAUGAUACGAGGUACCCGGAAAGAAUACACAAGCUUUUAUGGGCCAUGAAAUACUGACUGUAUACAGCAAGGUCCAGUUCCCCCAGAUGGGUCACAGUCAUCAAGAAAGGCUUCUUUGGAAUUAUCGAGACGAGUUGAUCAAUGAUGGAGCACACAAGGAAACAGAAAAGAAUCUUCACCCGUGUGUCAUAACAGAAUGUGAAAAUGAAUUGUCAACAGGCUACAUGAAUCUUUGGAUUAAUUUUACCAUGUUGUAGAACUACAACAAAAACAGAGAGAACCUACAGAACAGAC